rnacentral:sRNA from 1 species
UAAUCACCUAGUGUCAUGUUUGGGUGGU